ensembl:lncRNA
GAGACGACAUGUAAUGUUACUAUAAUUAAAGGUUAUCAUUAUUCGAUAUCUGUUGGGCAGAAUAAGGUGAGAAUGAUCUGUAGGUUUCUACACAAUAUUGAUUAGUGCCCCUUUAAGGAUGGAGGGGACUCAAAUGUUACAUUUCUGUGAAUUUAUGGCAAACUAAUAAUGGUUGGCCUUCGGCUAAAACAUUUAACAGUUGUAACUUCAGACAACACCUUCCUACUCUUAUUAAUGUUUGACCAAACAUGUUAAUUUGAUGUAGUACAAGGUCAUAAACCAUCAAAAACAUAUUACGUUGUCAGAGGUGCAGAAGAACUAACUAAAUCACAAGAAUAAUCUUUCAGAAAGUGGCUUUUUAAAAUAGUUGUAUUACAUUUUGAUAGCGAGGUGGGUCUGAGAGAGAGACAGAGACUAAUGUUGAACAUAUUUAUGAGUGGUGCUUUAGUUUAAGAGCUGUGAGGGACUUUGUCUCCCUUUUAGCCAAAAACAAUGACACAUCUUCAAAAUGACCUUUACCAUCAUUUUCACACAUAAUGACGAAUGUGACUAGAACGAAACAAAAUGACACAAAGGGCUGCUAACAGACAACAACAAAGGCCACAUUUUAUUUUUGCCUUUAAUUUGCUUUCAAUCAAUACAUAUGAGCAACGUGGGCUACAGAACACGCUAACGUCCGUAGGGAGGCAAACAGCAACGCUGCAUCUCAGCGGAAGGACAAAAGACAUUCAGAGGGAGGACACGUGUGCUGGAGAGGCGAAAGGGCCGCGUUCACUUCCUCUGAUGCUCGCCCUUUAGCAGCAUGUGUGUUAUCUGGGUGUGUGUGACGUCUGCGUGGGCGCACAACGCGCAUAGACCGGCGCUACAUUGCCGCUUCUUAAUGUGGCCCUCGUUGUGUUGUGUAGGGAGAGAGAUGAGAGCAUUGAGCGGCAACCGCACACCGUCCUCUCGCCGUUACUUCAGAGGACAUUACAUUGACUCACAUUCAUUUCCUGGAGACAAAAGCCUAAGUUUCCUCUUCCAAACAUUACCCAAAACCUAAUAUAUAUAUUGACCCUGAAAGAACUCUCCUCCAUUAGAUGAGGACUCGCUCAAACAGACACAAACACACACACAACAACAACUCUAACCUAAAUCACAUCCAAUCUGAACCCUCAAAGACAGCCAACAUGUCCUCAAUUUAUAGGUCCUCACUCUGAAGGUCUAACCCGCCAACUGGUCCCCAAAUGCAUAUUUCCUCACAAUCAAACACACGUUUCUCAGAUGAAGUUUACUCCAGGAGCAUCUGCUGGACCAGCCGUCAAUUCAGAAGUUGCCACAUGCACAAAUAGGAACGUGCACACACACACACACACACACAAUAAACAAAGACGAGUGACGUCACUGUGCUCUCGGCAUGCUCCGGGGAGUUCUGUUGUCAUGGCGACCCCCCAGUCACACGGACUCAGGAACUGUACUAGUGCGGCCGCCUGUACCGAGGACGCACAAACCCGUCUCUGGUGUUUGCGGAGCAUCUACACAAUAUGUUGCAAAACUCCAAAGCAGAGCCGGGGAUCAAACCACCGGUCGUCGUGUCGGAGGACGACCCCCCCCCCCCCCCCGCUCGCCCGUCUUCCUUCUCGAGACGCCAAAGCGAUGGAUGAACCGCCUCAGAAGUUGCGGUCUGAAUGGCUGAGAUUUCAUAUUUAAAAUAUUUUUGUAUGUAUGAAAUUAAAACACCUUAAAUAUCCAUGAGUAUCUCGAGCGGAUCAAGGUUCAGGCCGUCCUCCUUUUCCUCUGUGUCUGUUUCUUUCAACAGUGUAAUGAUGGUCUUAUAACAUGUUCAGUGGGAGCUUACAAUACCGUCAGACACAAUUUAAUCAGCGCUGUAAUUUGAUCGGGACCUGCUGCCAUCUUUGUUUGAGCAACAUUGCCGCUCACAUGGCAACAAACAAAUUGGGCUUUGGGUGAACUGCUCACGAGCAACGAGAAAAAUAAAGAAACGGCAGAAUUAUUUUACAGCUAGUUUUCUUUUCAGGUUUAAUCAUAGACAAUAUCUUGGAAACAUAGUUCCAAGAAAUCGUGGCUAUGUAAUUACAAGAACAUUCGACAUGGAAUAUCUAUAAUUCGGAGUAAUUGAGUUAGAACGCCCAAUAACUGAGCACGGCUACGGCUUUGAGUCUGACCCGUGACCUUUUGUUUCAUGUGGUUUCGGGUCUCGGUCUGGCUUUGUGUGUCCUCUCCUACAUUCUCCGUCUCUCUCGCUCAUGCACGUCAUCUUAAUAAAUCGCUCUGCAGAGCAGCAGAGCGUCACCUCCAGACCUUUGUAUCAGCGAGGGAGGAAGUUCUCUUUCUACCAUUUACUCUGCUUUUGUUUGAUUUAGGACCCGCUACGUCAUUCGCUGCCACCGCGACAUGUUCGCACCAUAAUGGGACGUCGUUAGUUGGAGGUACAUCCAGAAGAGGAGCAGUAGCGCUUGAAGCAACCCCCGAUCGGAGAGGUCAACAGCGGAAGUGGGGGAGGAGGCGGUGAGGCUGAAGAACGCCGCCAUUAACGAGACUUUUAUGACCAAGUCGCGGACAAACGGCCUGAUACACUCACCUGCAUGAACUGCUCAUAAGUGCAAUGGCGAACACCUUUCUGUGAAAGGUUGAAAAUGAUUGGCCAGUUGGUUUUACGCAGCCCCAACGCCUCUCACCAUGGACACAAACCGUGUGUGCCUCCCUUCUGGGUGGAGGCUGCAGAAUAUCACUGUACAAAUACAGUUUCUUCCCAUCUGCAGGUGGGUUCAUCAACGUUUUAAUGUGCCGAUUUAAUAUUUGGUAACCGUAUUUUAUCAUAAAUUUAUGAAUCUUCAUAUUUCACUACAAUCACUGAGCAAAUUCUGUUGAAUGUGUGUUAGAAAAAAUGGAAAGAAAUGGAAGAGAGUCAAUAAAACCUUACAACAUUAGCCAACACAGCCACCAUGCUGUUCCUGUUCCUGUCUGAUAAAAUCAUCCUGAAAAAAAACACUUUCAUAGAUUCUCUGUCCACUAAGACAGAACAAUAAUUUCAUUUCCGCAACAAUGUGUAACUCACUUGGCAAUAAAUAUGCCAAGUUUUUGAUGCUGUUAGUAUAUCGGCUGGUUCUGUAAAGCAAAGCUCUUACAGAUUCUUUGUUUCAUUACUCCUUUCUUUAGUAAAGUCAGUACUCAUCUUGCCUGUUUGUGCUUCUCUUCCCCACUGACUUUGUACCACUUAUUGACGUGGCAAUCAAACAGAGAGGCGGUUUUCAAAGUACAGUAAAGCACACAAUGAGGUCAAUUACGUCUGCAAGAGUUGCUAAUGUCUUCCUUCCUUGCUUUCAAAUGAUUGUCUCCCUCCCAUCCAUUAAUGCGAGAUGAUUAGAGCCAUUACAAAAUAACCCGAUCCAUUCAGCCCUACUUACGCUCAGCGGAUUACAUUCAUGACUCGCGUUCAGCCCCCUGGGCAGAAGUCCACGUAGGCCGGCAGUAAGCGCUGGAUGACUUUGUGCUCUGCUUUCUUGACCACUGCCAUAUUAUACCUAUCGUCGACAUAUACGGACUGGACAACUGGCUAGGUAGCUGGUUGGCUUGUCCAUUUCCAGAGGCUCCCCGGGCCCCUUAACGAGAGCACACUGUGUGGGAUGGGUUGAAUCUUUUAUCAGAUAAAAUGUAUGCAAGAGCGAUUGUGGUACCCAACAAUACUGCAAGAGUGCUGCAGCAAACACUGUGAUGGCAUCAUUUAAAAGAUAUUUUUCCAGUGCUUGUAUGGUUAAUAUACCAUAAUAAUAUUAGUGCUGAGCAAAGAUGAAAAAAUUGAAUCGAUUAAUCGCUGGACUUUUCUGUGAUUAAUGGUGAUUAAUCGCAUUAUGCGCAAAAUGUAAUAAUUCAAUGAAAACCAGUGUAUUGCACACUUUUAUUUUAAAGUAAUGUUACCAGAACAAUAUAGAAAGAAACAUUUGUCUUUUAUCAGGGAACAGUAUAAUGCAGCAUAUGUUCAGUAGGAAGGGUCCCUAUGAGGUGGUGUACUCCGGGCUCCUAGUACUCCAGCCUCCGUGUACUCCGGGCUCCUAGUACCACAGGCUCCUAGUACUACAGGCUCCUAGUUAUCCGGGCUCCUAAGACUCUAGGCUCCUAGUACUACAGGCUCCUAGUACUCCAAGCUCCUAGUACUCCGGGCUCCUAGUACUACAGGCUCCUAGUAAUCCGGGCUCCUAAAACUCAAGGCUCCUAGUACUCCGGGCUCCUAGUACUCCAAGCUCCUAGUACUCCAGGCUCCUGGUACUACAGGCUCCUAGUACUCCAAGCUCCUAGUACUCCAGGCUCCCGGUACUCUAGGCUCCCAGUACUACAGGCUCCCAGCACUACAGGCUCCUAGUACUACAGGCUCCUAGUACUCUAGGCUCCUAGUACUCCAGGCUCCCAGUACUCUAGGCUCCCGGUACUCUAGGCUCCCAGUACUACAGGCUCCCAGCACUACAGGCUCAUAGUACUACAGGCUCCUAGUACUACAGGCUCCUAGUACUCUAGACUCCUAUUACUCUAGGCUCCCAGUACUCUAGGCUCCCAGUACUACAGGCUCCUAGUACUUCGGGCUCCUAGUAUUCCGGUGAUAUAUAAUUUGUAGUGGUUACAAAUAGCUCUGCUUUUAUCGACUGCGCCACCUGGUAGGGCUUUCAAGAAAAAAGCGUGAGACUUUUCUAGAUUUUCUCGGUUGACGUGUGCAGCAGUUAUAAGAACGACCCAAAGCUCAAAAACAUCCCGUUAACACACGAGACAAUGCUGAAGUUAAUGGAUACAUUAUAGAUCACAAACAGAAACAUGUUUUCCUCUCUUCAUUCACUCAUUUAAUUUAACUUCCGUUUUCAAUUUCAUGGUUGUUUGUCCUACGGAUCCGCGCCUUCUGUGCUCUCCCCCCGCGGGAGCACAACAUGCUGCGUACACAGACACACACACACACACACACGAUCACAUGAAGUCAUCAAUACUUGACCGGGGCAUUGGGCUGCACGUUAAGUACAAAAAACCCACAUACACAUCAGCCACACACGCACAUACACACUCCACUCCGUCCUCUCUGGACUGUCUGCAAACGGAGCGCUAUGAAUCGUUCAGCAUCGAUUUGCCCUACAUUUGUUCCAGAUGUAUCAGCUUCUGUGUUCGUCCACUUCACGACGCGGAUUCCAGGCCUGGGAAGCGUGUCACGUUUUAAUCAACACACCCCCUUUUUCACGCGUGCUACUAAGUCGAACUUUGGCCAAACACUCUCAACGCCGCACUCAACACACUUGUUUGUGAUGACCAGGGACUUUAACCACGCUCGGCUUCCUGCUCAAACGGACAGAAACUGGAGAGAACCCCCAUCAUGUGGCCUAAAUUAGAGAACGUCAUUUCAUGCUUCGUGUAGCAACGUCGUGCAUUUGCUUUGAUUCAGAGGUUCAGAUUGAAGACCCUGUACAUCAGCUCUGCUACUGUUAAAAACGGUGGGAAAACCUUUUUUCCCACAUUGUGUUGUGACUGCUGAGCGUCCGAGGAAAAGCGGUAAAACAAGUAGCCACGUGGCACAAACGGCAAUGACAGGGAAAACGGGAACUUUCUAAAGGCAAAAGCAGCCAGCGGACGUUUUCCUUCAAGCAUGGCAGAGAAACCAGAAUUGAGGAACCGAGGUCAGCUGCUGCUUUACUCGGUACUUUUUUUAAUGGAAAAGACGUGUAAAAGCGGAGAUUCGACUUUGUCCCUGAAAGCAACUUGUGCUCUGCGCGUCGUUACUUUAAGGAUGAAUGAAGCGGGAAGCCGGUGGUUCUCGCUGACGUCGGCGGGCGUAAACCGACCCGUUGACCUUCCCCUUAUCGUGGCGUUUCCUCUCACAGCAGCGCAUGGGUCACUGAGGGGGGGGGAGGAUCGCCUUUUUUACACCUUCUUCUACAAACGUGUAGCACACGCACAGGAAUAGAAAAGUCCCAUUUCAGAAAGCGGAACCGACACAGAGGUUAAAGCUAGCGACGGUCAUCUAUAAUAGAAACAUGCCAUGUCGUGUGAGUCGAAAAGCGCUGGUUCCUCCUCCACGCCGCUGCCCAUUUCUCCUUUGACAGCCUUUUCUUUCCGUCUCCGCUCCAUUAGUCGCCGUACUCGUGACGUCACUUCCCGCCCGGUGCCACAGAAUGGCGUGAUGCACCCGAAGGGAAUCGACUUCUUUCUCGUCGGUGAACCUUUAGCGGGCGGGGAGGACCGACGGCGAGGACGUCAGGAGCGAGUGACUGCCGGCCGGCUGACGUCAUCGCCGCUGAAGGGCGGGUGUUGCUACGGGAAACGGCACAAAGUCCAGGCCCCAAAGACAAACACAGUUAUGCGUUUGGUCGGGAGAGAGUCAGGCAAGUGUUUGGCCAGACAGCAGCAAUCACUUGGGAGUCUUGCAAAUGACCAUAUUUGGAAUGUGGAGGCGUGUCAGUCACAGUAAGCCCCGCCCCAAAGCAUUCCCUGCUUCAUUGGAGUCUAAAUGGACCAUCACUUGCUAAAUGAACUUAAGCUAGAGACCAUAAACUCAUGUUUACACUGUUUACUGAGGGAAUCAGUGGAGGAAGGAGUCAUUUUCUCACAGGCUUGUAUGUGUACAGGGAGUCUCCCCCUGCGGGGGCUUAAUGGGAAACACCUCAAAUAGUACGAGAACUGAACCAGGUGAUCACGUCCCAAUGUCGAGCUAUUACAUUAUUCAUAAACAUGACCAAUUAACGUUAUUCAUCACAUCAUCUGCACUUUAGCCGGUUCCUCUAAUUCUUCUGUUCACACAUGAAUGUUAGAUUUAAAGUACUUCUGUAUCUUGUAAAGCAAUUUCCCCUCUUUACUGUUUAUUCACUGAAGCUGUUUCAUGUUUAUGGUCUUGCUUUACGUUCAAUACUAAUUCCCCUGCAGGACCAGUAAAGUCAUCUAGAGUAAUGCAUCUUUGGCCCCCUGUUAUCCUGGAUGGGGGGAAAACGCAGAGGCCUUAAAGUCCCCGGACGUACGCAGGCCGCAAUGACGCACUACAUGGGCCUAUUUAGACGGCAACGAGCAAUAAGUGGACGCCGUCAACGCAAUGUCCCCCCCCCCCCACUGGUUUGUGGACCACCGUUUUGCGGCAUUAAGUCGCGGCGCUUUUGGCAGCGACAUCUCGGAUCACGCUGGUCGCCGUCUUGAAGUUACGAUAGAGGAGAGCAGUGAAAGAGACACCGCCCGGUCUGAUGGUGAGUUUGACUCUAAAUGGACCAUCAUUUACUAAAUGAUUACUAAAAGAAAGAUUCUAACAGUCAACAAGCAAGUCUGUUGGACAGUAGAUACGAUCCGGUAAAUGAUGCCAAUGACGUCUCUACUUUUGAUGAAGUAAGUAGCUGCUGGUGCUGAUUGACACAUUUGAAUGAGACAUAACGUCUCCUUGCACCCGAAAGUGAGCCGACCCUGAUCGGUGCUGCAUCUGCAGCUCUGCAUUCUGGGUCCACUCAGCCUCACCUUCAAUGCUUUCUUCUUCACAUCUGUCACACCCGCUGCUCCUCCCGGAAGGAAAGAGGCAAACCCAGAUCCCGCUCUCUGCAUCCCGAUCAGCAGACGUAAAGCCGAGACCAGCGGUGGGAAACAUAAUCCCACUGCGCUCACACUGACGGGCUAACUAACCCCGUCUCAGGGGAAGAACAUCUGGACAGGCACUAAACAGGGAUGAGACGCACACUGUAACAAAUUGCUGUAAAUUUACGGUAUGUUACAGUAUGUCAUAAUAACUGUAACAUACAGUUAAAUUUCCAUCCCGUGCUUGUAAAUUAACGGCCAAUGUCAUGAAUAAACAGUUAAAGCUGUCAAUUUACAAUAAUAGCAGACUACCGUAAUUCAACUGCAUGUUACAUAUAUUUUAUGAGGUGGUGGAAAUACACAUACA